GAUGAAGAACGUAGCGAAAUGCGAUAAGUAAUGUGAAUUGCAGAAUUCAGUGAAUCAUCGAAUCUUUGAACGCACAUUGCGCCCGCCGGCACUCCGGCGGGCAUGCCUGUCCGAGCGUCAUUUCAACCCUCAGGCCCGAACCCCCCCGGGGGGGGCGGGCCUGGUGUUGGGGCUCGGGGUCCGCGAGGCCCCCGUCCCCUAAAUCCAGUGGCGGUCGCGCCGCACCCUCCCCUGCGUAGUAGCACACCUCGCACCGGAGAGCAGCGCGUCCACGCCGUGAAACCCCCAAUUUACCAAGGUUGACCUCGGAUCAGGUAGGAAUACCCGCUGAACUUAAGCAUAUCAAUAACGGAGGA
rnacentral:misc_RNA from 1 species